GUACCUACGGGGGGCAGCAGUGAGGAAUAUUGGUCAAUGGACGGAAGUCUGAACCAGCCAUGCCGCGUGCAGGAUGACGGCUCUAUGAGUUGUAAACUGCUUUUGUAUUAGGGUAAACACCCCUACGUGUAGGGGCUUGAAAGUAUAAUACGAAUAAGGAUCGGCUAACUCCGUGCCAGCAGCCGCGGUAAUACGGAGGAUCCAAGCGUUAUCCGGAUUUAUUGGGCUUAAAGGGUGCGUAGGCGGUAUUUUAAGUUAGUGGUAAAACGUCGGGGCUUCACCUUGAUUGGCCAUUAAAACUGGAG
rnacentral:rRNA from 1 species